GUCGAGCGGCGGACGGGUGAGUAAUGCUUGGGAAUAUGCCUAGAGGUGGGGGACAACAGUUGGAAACGACUGCUAAUACCGCAUAAUGUCUACGGACCAAAGGGGGGGCUCUUCGGACCUUUCGCCUUUAGAUUAGCCCAAGUGAGAUUAGCUAGUUGGUGGGGUAAAGGCCUACCAAGGCGACGAUCUCUAGCUGGUUUGAGAGGAUGAUCAGCCACACUGGGACUGAGACACGGCCCAGACUCCUACGGGAGGCAGCAGUGGGGAAUAUUGCACAAUGGGGGAAACCCUGAUGCAGCCAUGCCGCGUGUGUGAAGAAGGCCUUCGGGUUGUAAAGCACUUUCAGUCGUGAGGAAAGGUUAGUAGUUAAUACCUGCUAGCUGUGACGUUAGCGACAGAAGAAGCACCGGCUAACUCCGUGCCAGCAGCCGCGGUAAUACGGAGGGUGCGAGCGUUAAUCGGAAUUACUGGGCGUAAAGCGUGCGUAGGCGGAUGAUUAAGCGAGAUGUGAAAUCCCGGGGCUUAACCUCGGAACUGCAUUUCGAACUGGUCGUCUAGAGUAUUGUAGAGGGUGGUGGAAUUUCCAGUGUAGCGGUGAAAUGCGUAGAGAUUGGAAGGAACAUCAGUGGCGAAGGCGGCCACCUGGACAAAUACUGACGCUGAGGCACGAAAGCGUGGGGAGCGAACAGGAUUAGAUACCCUGGUAGUCCACGCCGUAAACGAUGUCAACUAGCUGUCUGUGAACUUGAUUCGUGGGUAGCGUAGCUAACGCGCUAAGUUGACCGCCUGGGGGAGUACGGCCGCAAGGUUAAAACUCAAAUGAAUUGACGGGGGCCCGCACAAGCGGGGAGCAUGUGGUUUAAUUCGAUGCAACGCGAAGAACCUUACCAUCCCUUGACAUCCAGAGAAAUUUUCUAGAGAUAGAAUUGGCCUUCGGGAACUCUGAACAGGGGCUGCAUGACUGUCGUCAGCUCGU
rnacentral:rRNA from 2 species